GGGGUGGGGCCAAAAUAGGCUACGUUAAACCUGGGGGUGAUUCCCCUUUGCAGCCAGGUAGGGAAUAACUAGGUUUCCCUGGUGGUUCAGAUGGAAAAGAACCUGCCUGCAAUGUGGGAGACCUAGGUUUGAUCCUUGGGUCGGGAAGAUCCCCUGGAGGAGGGCAUGGCAACCCACUCCAAUAUUCUUGGCUGGAGAAUUCCAUAGACAGAGGAGCCUGGCAGGCUAUAGUCCAUGAGGUCGCAAAAGAGUCAGACAUGAUUGAAGUGACUUAGCACCACCUUGCACCUUGUCUGGUAUUAACUGGAUGCUGCUGCUGCUGCUAAGUCACUUCAGUCGUGUCCAACUCUGUGCGACCCCAUAGACGGCAGCCCACCAGGCUCCCCCGUCCCUGGGAUUCUCCAGGCAAGAACACUGGACUAAACCUCCUGACUCAACAAGAUUAUGUCAAACUCAAGCUCAAAAAGUUGCCACCUCAUCAGCUCCUCCCUCCUUGUCAGCUGGGGAAGUUCCAAGGAUUUUAAGUUUCUUUCACCAUGGAGUAGAACUAAAUGAUGAAUCACCUACCCUUCUACUACAGGCAAUGACAAGCCUGAAUAUAACUUGUUUGCUGAGUUUUUCUUAUUUUCCAGGGUUUUGGUUGAAUCUAUAGGAAUAUCUUUAAAGAACUCUGUCCCAUCCAAUAGGAAUGAGAUCCUGAUGCUGGGAAAGACUGAGGGCAGGGAAGAAGAGUGCGACAGAGGAUGAGAUGGCUGGAUGGCAUCAUCGACUCAAUGGGCAUGUGUUUGAGCAAACUCUGGGAGAUGGUGAAGGACAGGGAAGCCUAGCAUACUGC
ensembl:lncRNA